rnacentral:rRNA from 1 species
AGAAUCAACGCUGGCGGCGUGCCUAACACAUGCAAGUCGCACGAGAAAGGGGCUUCGGCUCUGAGUAAAGUGGCGCACGGGUGAGUAACACGUGACUAACCUACCCUUGAGUGGGGGAUAACUGAGGGAAACCUUAGCUAAUACCGCAUAAUACCCACGGGUCAAAGGAGCAAUUCGCUCGAGGAGGGGUCGCGGCCGAUUAGUUAGUUGGCGGGGUAAUGGCCCACCAAGACGAUGAUCGGUA